GAUGAACGCUGGCGGCGUGCCUAAUACAUGCAAGUCGAGCGAACAGACGAGGAGCUUGCUCCUCUGACGUUAGCGGCGGACGGGUGAGUAACACGUGGAUAACCUACCUAUAAGACUGGGAUAACUUCGGGAAACCGGAGCUAAUGCCGGAUAAUAUAUUGAACCGCAUGGUUCAAUAGUGAAAGACGGUUUUGCUGUCACUUAUAGAUGGAUCCGCGCCGCAUUAGCUAGUUGGUAAGGUAACGGCUUACCAAGGCAACGAUGCGUAGCCGACCUGAGAGGGUGAUCGGCCACACUGGAACUGAGACACGGUCCAGACUCCUACGGGAGGAAGCAGUAGGGAAUCUUCCGCAAUGGGCGAAAGCCUGACGGAGCAACGCCGCGUGAGUGAUGAAGGUCUUCGGAUCGUAAAACUCUGUUAUUAGGGAAGAACAAAUGUGUAAGUAACUAUGCACGUCUUGACGGUACCUAAUCAGAAAGCCACGGCUAACUACGUG
rnacentral:rRNA from 1 species